rnacentral:SRP_RNA from 1 species
GGUCGGGCCCCGUGCGACUGACUAUCGCCGAACCCCGUCAGAUCCGGAAGGAAGCAGCGGUAGGUGACCGGUCAGGGUGCCGCGGAACGCUUGGCUUGA